rnacentral:rRNA from 1 species
AGAUUGAACGCUAGCGGGAUGCUUUACACAUGCAAGUCGAACGGCAGCGCGGACUUCGGUCUGGCGGCGAGUGGCGAACGGGUGAGUAAUAUAUCGGAACGUGCCCAGUAGCGGGGGAUAACUACGCGAAAGCGUGGCUAAUACCGCAUACGCCCUACGGGGGAAAGGGGGGAUUCUUCGGAACCUCUCACUAUUGGAGCGGCCGAUAUCAGAUUAGCUAGUUGGUGAGGUAAAGGCUCACCAAGGCGACGAUCUGUAGCUGGUUUGAGAGGACGACCAGCCACACUGGGACUGAGACACGGCCCAGACCUCCGUACGGGAGGC